rnacentral:misc_RNA from 1 species
GAUGAAGAACGUAGCGAAAUGCGAUACUUGGUGUGAAUUGCAGAAUCCCGUGAACCAUCGAGUAUUUGAACGCAAGUUGCGCCCGAAGCCAUCAGGUUGAGGGCACGUCUGCCUGGGCGUCACAUAUCGUUGCCCGAUGCCUAUUGCAGUGCAAUAGGAAUUUCUAGGGCGAAUGAUGGCUUCCCGUGAGCGUUGUUGCCUCGCGGUUGGUUGAAAAUCGAGUCCUUGGUAGGGUGUGCCAUGGUAGAUGGUGGUCGAGUUAGAACGAUACCGAUCAUGUGCAUGCUCCCCAAAAUAUGGCCUCUAUGACCCACACGCGUCUUUUGACGCUCAUGACGAGACCUCAGGUCAGGCGGGGCUACCCGCUGAAUUUAAGCAUAUCAAUAAGCGGAGGA